rnacentral:rRNA from 1 species
UGCCGGAGGCUACCGCUAUUGGAGUUCGAUUAANCCAUGCGAGUCGAGAGUCUUAGGGACUCGGCGUACCGCUCAGUAACACGUGGGUAACCUGCCCUAUGCUGGGGAAUAACCUCGGGAAACUGAGAAUAAUGCCCCAUAGUCCACAAUGCCUGGAACGGUUUGUGGAUUAAAGCUCCGGCGGCAUAGGAUGGGCCUGCGGCGCAUCAGGUCGUAGGGGGUGUAACGUACCCUCUAGCCAUCGACGCGUACGGGUGUUGGGAGACAUAGCCCGGAGAUGGAUUCUGAGACACGAAUCCAGACCCUACGGGGUGCAGCAGGCGCGAAAACUUGGCAAUGCGAGAAAUCGUGACCAGGGAACUCCAAGUGGCUGGGGUUAGACCCAGUCUUUUCUUGACUCUUCAAAGGUCUUGGAAUAAGGGGUGGGUAAGGACGGUGCCAGCUGCCGCGGUAAUACCGGCGCCUCAAGUGGUAGUCGAUUUUAUUGGGCCUAAAACGUCC